rnacentral:rRNA from 1 species
GCCGGUGACGCUAGCGGCGCGCUUAACAACAUGCAAGUCGGCGCGAUCGGACCGGACCUGACUCCUUCGGGAUGACGGACYGGUUACGGAGCGGCGGACUGGUGAGUAACACGUAGCUAACCUCCCUUCGGGCGGGAAAUAGCAUCGGGAAACUGAUGUUAAUAUCCCAUAACCAUGAGAGAACCCAAGUUCUCCCAUUAAAGUGGUUUCGACCAUACCUGAAGAUGGGGCUGCGUCCUAUUAGCUUGACGGUGAGGUAAAGGCUCACCGUGGCGAAGAUAGGUAGGGGGCCUGAGAGGGCGAUCCCCCACACUGGGACUGAGACACGGCCCAGACUCCUACGGGAGGCUGCAGUGGGGAAUCUUGCGCAAUGGUCGAAAGACUGACGCAGCGACGCCGCGUGGAGGACGAAGGCCUUCGGGUUGUAAACUCCUUUUCUGGGGGAAGAAUAAGAUGAGUAGGCAAUGGCUCACCGAUGACGGUACCUCAGGAACAAGCGCCGGCUAACUUCGUGCCAGCAGCCGCGGUAAGACGAAGGGCGCAAGCGUUAUCCGGAAUUACUGGGCGUAAAGGGCGUCUAGGCGGUCAGUCAAGUCAGUCGUGAAAGUCCUUGGCUAAACUGAGGAAAGUCGACCGAUACUGAUUGACUAGAGGGACGUAGAGGGAAGCGGAACUCUCGGAGUAGCGGUGAAAUGCGUAGAGACCGAGAGGUACCCCGAUGGUGAAGACAGCUUCCUGGGCGUCUCCUGACGCUGAAGCGCUAAGGCCAGGGGAGCGAAGGGGAUUAGAUACCCCCGUAGUCCUGGCUUCAAACUAUGUGGGGCUUGGUGUCGGCUCCCGAWAAGAGAGGUCGUUGCCGGAGCUAACGUGUUAAGCCCACCGCCUGGGGAUUACGUCCGCAAGGAGAACCCA